rnacentral:rRNA from 1 species
GAACGACUCUCGGCAACGGAUAUCUCGGCUCUCGCAUCGAUGAAGAACGUAGCGAAAUGCGAUACUUGGUGUGAAUUGCAGAAUCCCGUGAACCAUCGAGUCUUUGAACGCAAGUUGCGCCCGACGCCUUUUGGUUGAGGGCACGUCUGCUUGGGCGUCACGC